CUCACCAGUGUCACCACUCACAGCUGAGCUGAAAGCAAAAGCAGGCCAAGCAGAGCAAAGCAGUAAGCAGCCAGCACUGUUCGAGUAGCUAAGCUAGUGGUGGUAGCACAGCGGCUUGAAUUGCCCAGCACCAGCUCCGAUCCCAUGGCCAGCUUCGCCUCCCAGCUCCUGGACGUGUUCUACGACCUCGUCGAGCGCGUCACCGGCUACAGCGCCCGCGCCCAAGACGACAAAGCGCAUGCAGAUCUACAGAAGCACAGCAUGUUGGCAACUAGGGAGGCUUUCCGGACAGAGGAAGUUGUCGAGAUCAGGUCCAGAAAUCACCCGGAAGUACCAGGAGGGUCAGGCGCCCAGGUCAAUUAACAUGCAUGGUAUGUAGGGCUAGCUAGGCUCUACGUACGUCAGAGACAUACAUAACGGCCGUGUGGCUUCUCAUAGACUCGAGAUCAGUGUGCUCAAGAUAGUGUACUUGCUGGUGUGCUUCGAAACUUCAGAUAAUAAGCUCGUGUAUGUCCCAGUAAUGUUUCAGUUUGUUGAUUCCUUAUUACCGUGUCUUGCUAUCUUAACUUCCUGAUCGAGUUUUAUGGGUGCUGUUCUGUUGUGUGCUUGUAACUUGUAAGGCCAAUAAAGCAGUAACUUGAUCGA